AGCGGCGUCCGGGUGAGUAACACGUGGGUAAUCUACCGUAGAAUCUGGAAUAACCUGCCGAAAGGCGGGCUAAUACCGGAUAGUGCGAGAAUCGGGUAAGCCGAUUUUCGGGAAAGGGACUAAAACCUCGUUCUACGAUGAGCUCGCGCCCAAUUAGCUUGAUGGUGAGGUAAAAGCUCACCAUGGCAUUGAUUGGUAGCUGGUCUGAGAGGAUGAUCAGCCACACUGGCACUGAAACACGGGCCAGACUCCUACGGGAGGCAGCAGUGGGGAAUAUUGCGCAAUGGACGAAAGUCUGACGCAGCAACGCCGCGUGAGUGAAGAAGGAUUUCGGUUCGUAAAGCUCUGUCAGAUGGGACGAACAACUACAAGACAGCUUGUAGCCUGACGGUACCAUCAAAGGAAGCACCGGCUAACUCCGUGCCAGCAGCCGCGGUAAUACGGAGGGUGCAAACGUUGCUCGGAAUUAUUGGGCGUAAAGGGGAAGUAGGUGGUCCUGUUUGUCUGGAGUGAAAGCCCUGAGCUCAACUCGGGACGUACUUCAGAAACGGCAGGACUAGAGUUCUGGAGAGGGUUGUGGAAUUCCUGGUGUAGCGGUGAAAUGCGUAGAUAUCAGGAGGAACACCUGAGGCGAAAGCGACAACCUGGACAGAUACUGACACUAAAUUCCGAAAGCGUGGGGAGCAAACAGGAUUAGAUACCCUGGUAGUCCACGCCGUAAACGAUCAGUACUAGGCUUGACUGGUUUUGACCCCGGUCGAGUCGGAGCUAACGCGAUAA
rnacentral:rRNA from 1 species